GGUAAUGUAGUUGUUCUUUCAAGUUGCUCAAACACCUUCUACAUCUUGGCCUUUAUUUCCUCUAGGAUAUCUCACCAUCUAUUUUUCAUCCAUCCAUCCAUCUGUCCAUCUGUCCAUCCAUCCCCCAACAAAUAGAUAUGAGGAAGCUGCUGCAUGCUGGUCACUGCUGCAUACUAGGGAUACAUCCAGUUACUGUUUACAUCUAGAUGUCCUCUAAGAGCCUAAUGAGUGCGUAGGCAGAACUUUUGGAAGGUGAUUAGAAUAUAGGGGUAUUGCAGCUGACUUGCUAUUAGGUGGCCAGGUCUGGUCAGAAGAGGUGGGUCACUGGAGGGAUGGUCUGAAAGAGUGAAUCAUUCUUACUAGUUCCUCUUUUUGCCCACCUUAGACUGAAACUGCCAAAAUGUGAUCCAAAAUAAUUAUUUCCUUCUUUAAGUUGUGGGUGUCAGUCAUUGUGUUUCAGCGAUGAGGAAAGUGAAUCAGAUAAUCCACCUGUAAAUAAAAUGGACGAAUCUAUCUUAUCAGAAGUUGUGGGAGCAGCUGUACGGAAGAUUUUGGGGAGUAACUGAUCAAGGAAUUCUAAGUAUAAUCCUUUAGAGAAGUGAUGAAAAUAGACCAUUUCAAACCACAUCUCUGAAGAGGCCUCAUCUGUGCUAUGGCUCUAAUCCUGAAUGCCUCCUUGAAGUGAACACAAUUCUUGCUGCUCAUUUUACAGAUGUGGAACCCUAACCUGGAGAAGUUAAGUGACUUGUUCAUUAUGCACAGCAAAUAAUUUCCUGGAAUUCAUCUCUGGUUUCUCUGUCUGUAUAAGCCAUAUGUAUUUUUUACUUGUAGCUUUUUUUAGACCUUGGUCUUUGCUAUGUGACAUUAGUGCAAAUGACUGAACUGCAUAGAUUAAUUGUUACAUAUUUCCCAAAUAAAUUCCAGACUAGUGAUAAAAUCAUUAGCAGUGAUAAUUCUGAUUACGUCAAAGUGAGAAUUUUUCUUCAGGAUUGAGUUGAGGGUUGAAAUACCCUAAGACAUCACAGUACCUUAAAAUACCUGGGAUCUUAUUUGGCUUUUGAAAGUCUGUAACUCUAAAAAGUCAUUUAUUUCUUUUGGACCUCAAUUUCUGUGAGGUCAUUUCUUCUUUUUGCAAGUAAUGGUUGGGAUGACUAUUGUCUCAGACUGUCUUUUGUACCAAGAAAGGAUGCAAGGGCCUAAAGUAUAGUGUCUUUGGGUGAGGGAAACAUUCUGAAAAGAAGUAUAAAGAAGUACAAGAUUAGAAAGAUGUAUUAUAUGAAGAAGGUGAUUAAAGGUGUUAGAUUGAAAUUAAGACCAGAAUUAUGCCUGGGCUGAGGAAGAUGUGGUUAUAGUGCAAUUUGUGGCAUGCUCAAAGCCACUUACAUGGCUCUGGAUUCUUUAAAAAUUGAUUAAAUGCAGGUGACAUUUGCCCUAUCUGUAAAACAAGACACAUGCAGCCAUGUCACUUGCCCAAACUUAAAAUGAUACCAAGUUUUGGUGACACUGGAACAAAGAGUUCUCAUGCAUGGCUGGAAAAUAUAAGUACACCCAUCAACACUUUGCAAGGCUUUUCUUGGACCAAACCAGUUCUAUCCCUUCUUUCACUUUCACUUAUCAAGAGUAACUGUAGAAUGUGCUGGAAAUACAACUUCCUGAGACACAGAGGAACUGGUAGAACAGCCUGGACUCUGUUCUGUCCUUCCUAGAAAGGAUGUCUUAUAGUUCUUUGGCUCAGGGGGACGUGUUUCCCCACUGGAAACCCAGGCAGGCUGCUUUUCUUGGUUCCUCAGCUGCGAGGUAACAUAGAACACACAGACGAGACUCCAUCUAUUCUGAGUAGCUUUCCAGGCCCAUGAGUGAUUCACCAUAAACCCUAGGCUUUUAUGGCCACCCCUUACUGCCUGUCUUGUGAGUAAGAAAGUUGUUCCUCUUAAUUUGUGUGAAUGUUCUGUCUCACAGACUCUUGCAAAUGAUAGAGUAACAGGUGCAUGAUGAACCUGCUUUGCAAUAUUAUGCAUGAAACUGAAAAUACAGGUGCCUUAUGACUGUAAUCCCACUCCUAGAGAAACUCCUGACAAUGAGUUCCAGGCUAUAUGUGCAAAAGAGGCCAUAGUGCCAGACUGUUCUUAAUGUCUUUUGGAGACAGGAAAAUAGGCCUUAAAUGCUCAACAUUAGUCAAAUGAACAAAGAAAGAGUGCUACAAUCACAUGAUGGGCUACAGUCACAUGAUGGGCUACUAGAGUAAUGCAAGUGGGAAAACUAUAAUUUUGGGUCAGGGAAAAUAACUCCAGACAAGCUAGAUGUCAGAUGUGCUAAGAUCAUGUCUCCCAAAUAUCAAGGAAUGAAUUCCAAGUGACAAAGGAGGUUAAGAGUAGGAAAUGUUUAUUGAGAAAGCUCUUGAGAGAUAGGAGGGAUUCUGAGAGGGGUGGCCACAGAGGCUAUUUCCUUAUGCAUGUAUUUAGAGCACAAUCACAAGGUGGGUACAACAUGGAUCAAACUGUAAUCAACCAGUAAGAUUACAAGUAUAGUCACUUAGCUAGUACUGAUCCACUAGGGAAGUGAUUCAUGUAGUAAUUGUUUAUAGUGAGCAUCAUUAUUAAGUUUAGCUUCUCUAUGACUUCUACUAUUGUCUUAGUUACUUUCCAUGUUGCUGAGACAAUAUACCUGAUACCCAGAAGUUAAAGUAGGAAAGGUUUAUUUUGGCACACAGUUUAUAGAAGUUUCAGUCAUAGUUGGUUGGCUCCAACAGAGUGGUGUGGCAGCAUCACAGAGGAGAAACAGUUCAUAGCAGAGCAGGUAGGAGGCAGCAGCAAGCCUGCUUUCUCUCUCUCCCUUUAUAUUCCAUUCAGGCUAUAAGCCUACUGAUUGGUGCCACCCACACCUAGGGUGGUGCUUCCACUAUCCACACACAGAACUAUGCUGAUUUCAAUUAGUACCUCAAAAACCAUUAAUCCCAGUAUCACAUGCCCUAGAUACGGUGAACUCUAAAAAAGCCCACCUAUGAGCUCAUUAGGGUUUGAGGGUGGGGCAUCUAGAUACAAACCAUAACAACCAUAGAAAGAUCAAAAGCAUCCAAUCUCCUGUCUGGCUAGUGGGCCAGUAGGGAUCUUGUAGAGGACUACCUGGGCUCCAGGGGAAACCAGUAGUUCCCCUUGAUGCCUAUAUUCUGUUCUUUGAAAAUUAAUGAUAUGAUAUUCAUCUCUUCGUGUAAUAGCAGUCUGUAAUGUCACUUAUUUCUCACUAGUAUUUAAUGUAUGGUUUAAGAGCAACAUUGCAUCCUUCCAGUCCAGUUAAUAGGUCUGAGUAAGUCCCUAAAGACCUCAGUAUACCUAUAAGGAUUAUCUGAAAAAUUUCCCAGAUCUUGUUUGAUCUGUUUGAGGUCACUGAGAGAAAAGGACACAUGGACAAGGUAGGGCCGAAUUCUCCACCCACCUCCUAUACGGGAUAUUGCCUUGAGGAGUUUUAACAAAAUGAGAUGGGGUGGAAAUAGCCCAGAAGAGGCUUCAUUUAGGAUUGGCUUGGAAGUGUUGGGCUCAGGGUAUGGAGGACAAGGGAAAGCUUGACAAUAGAUGCAUCAUCAGAUUGCAGCUUAAAUGACAGAGGCAUCUGGUUUUCCAGUGGCUUAUAUCUAUACUUUGAAUACAAGUCAGGAUUGCCUCUUAAGGUAAAGAAAGUCUGAACAUAGUGUACCUCUGACCAGUUUCCCUCUUUCUUACAAAAUAACUCCAGUUGUGAACAGUAUUAUAAUUAAUACUUCCACUUUGCCUCUGGGGAAUAGGCAGACCAAGUGUGGGUGAACAAAAAGAUUUAAUGAUGAUUCCUUAGAGUCUGAGGGUGGAAUAAUUUCCAUUGCUUAAUAAUAAAGUCGAAAGGAGUAAAAGAAUUCAACACUGAAUUUCCCAUCAGAAAAAUGAGGAGGACAGAAGGCAUCUUUUUUAAUCCCUCUUGCUUUUAUAUGCCCUCAGUUGUCCCCAGAGGUUUCCUUGCUCCAGAGCAGGUGGUUGCUAACUGGAGGGAGAUCAGAAGAUGGGGCCAGACUAAUCAUUCUCACCUACUUGCACACUUGGUUCUUCUGAAUAGUCAUUUUGUGUUUUAAACUCACAUUUCCAACUCCAUAGCAGGUUUUUUAAAAGUUCUUUUAUUGGUACAUUUUAGGUAUACAAUUCGUUUACAUUUAUCAUUGGGUGUUUGUACCUGUACAUGAUAUAUCGUGGUUAUUUUUUCCCCAUUACUAUUUUUAAUAGCAAAAAGCUACAAUUAAUUUCUUCCAUAACUACUCUGUUUAAGAAGGGAAGCAUUGUCUUACAGAAAAUUAAACCAAUGAUCAAGGGUCCUGAAUGACUUCUUUCUCAUUUGAGCAGGGGCCGGGGCAGAUUGGAAGUACUCCAACUAUGUUGUUUAGGGCUCACAAAUAUGUGUGCUUUUGGAGAUAUCUCUCCUUGGGCAUUCAGAGAUCUGUUCUCUUGAUAAUCGCAAUGUCUCAGGAUGAGAGUUUCUCCUCCUGGUCCUGCUGGUCAUGUGAGAAAUCCCUGCUUAGACAGGGUAGGUGAAACUCUUAUAUGUGUCUUCUUGGAUGAGUAUGAGUUUCAAUUCCCUUCUAACCCAGGGAUUUGGAUAUGUAGUCUAUAAGGAAAUGCCUAUCUUCAGAGCCCUUAUAGAUGAGCACUCAUUUUCUAAGGGUUUGGGAGUCUCCAGUUGGGAGAGAAAAAGAUUCUCAGAAUUGCAAAGAGAAGCAUAUACCAUUUCCUGAUACUGAUCACAACUAUUCCUACAGAGGUGAACUGCCAAAAGGUAUCCCAUAACUUCUAACUGAAUCCCGAGGCUUACUGGAGUGUGCAAGCUGCAAACCAACUAGAAGUUCAAAAACCAUAAGAGAGCAAGCCAUUUCAUAACUGCCAAACAAGUCAAGAAAGGAAUAUGAAGCCUGUUUGUAAAAUAAAAAUGUUCCAUCAAAGAAAAUCAAAUAUAAAGGCAUCACCAUCUUCCCAAGCCCCUAACUUAAAUCUAUUAUCAUUUUGACAAAAAAAACCCAAUGUAUAAGCAACUGAAAAAUGAAGAAUGCAAUUUAUGAUCGCCUAAAUAAGUCACAAUUCAGUUGAAAUACUCCAGGGAGGUGCCAUGAAACAAAAGCAGACUCUUAACUUCUUCCAAAUAUCUCAUUUGGGCCUCCAAUAUGUGAUGGGAAAAAUAAUACCCAACCUGCUAGAUGUCAGAUGUGUCCCACAAGUAUUGAAGAAUGAAUUCUGAGGGAAUAAGGAGUUUAAGAGUAGAAAAGAUUUAUUAAGAGAAAACUCUAGACAGACAACAAGCCUCUGCCACAGAGGCUAUUUGUCCAAGAACAUUUUAUAGAGCAAAAUCACAAGGUGGGUAAAACAUGGGUUAAACUGUAGUCAAUCAAUGUGAUUACAAGCAUAGUCACUUAGCUAAUAUUGAUCUACUAAGGAAGUGAGGCACAUAGCAACAGUAUAUGGCUAGCAUCAUUAACUUUAGCUUAUCUGUAACUUCUAACAUAGGAAUAUCCAAAGCAUUUUGGGGACAGGAUGGAUCCAGAUGAUUUGGCCACCUUAUCUAUAUGACUGAUGUUUAUUUGGGCCCAUUGGUUCAGGUAUAAACUCAAAUUGCUGUCCAUCUCUAGGGAGGUUUUCAGGCCUGACUAUUGCAUACUGAGUCCUUCCCUUCUUCAGAUGCACCUCCAGCCACAAUUUUGAUGAGUUUUCAUCUUCUUCCCUGACUCCCCCAUGGGCCCAUUCCUGUCUGACUGGCUAUUAAUUUCUAUCUAACUUAGAUGUCUCUGAUAGCUUCAUGCAAACACACACUGUGAUCUAAAGACAUAAAGUUGAGGAAAUGGUGGAAGAUUCUCCAUUCAUUUAGAGUUUGAAAAUGAAACUGAAUUUUGUAAAACUGAAAAGGUAUAGAGAGGCAAUAAAACAAUAAAUAAAUGCUGGGAAGUAAUUAUUAUAAGAGUUAGGAUUCUGAUGAUCUCUAGAGAGAGAGUGUGAGGGAAGAGUACAGCACAUGGUCCCUAAAGGCUGGGGAUGUGUCUGUUUUGUAGGUACCUAGAUAUGCAAUUUAUGUGGACAUAAUCUUUAAACCCUAUGUAUAUAUUUGAUGUCCUUUUAUUUAGGUUUUGUUUGCUAACAUUUCUGACUAGUAAUUGCUUGUGUGUAGAUAGGCAUGCAUUCAUUGGAUACUAAGGAGCUUUCUUUCUUGCAGGGUCAUUAUUCCAAAUAUCUGGGCUUUUCGUACAAGAUGAAAGAUGGAGAUAUGGACUGAGUUGGAGAUAGGGUUGAAGACACUUGGACCUAAAACAUCUUGUGGAGGUUUUAGUUAUUUUUUUUAUUUAAUAGUUCUAUUCUGUUUUAGAAUAAAAACCUUGCUUUAAUAUUGUAAGGUGGAAUGGAGGUAUGUCAUGCUGCCAGUUGUUAUUGGGACAAUAAGUGCCCCAGUUAGUGACCAAUGUAGAGUUUUAUUUAAAAAAAUCAAUAUUUUCUUUUUUGCUAAAAUUUUCCUUUGUUUCUCCUAAAAUAGAUAAUAGUAGUCUGGUAUGAUAAUUUGGACCUGAAAUUUCCCUUUUAGGCCUGUUCAAUAAAGGUUUGGUCACAAGAGCUACAGAGAGAUGGUAGAAUCUUAGGAAGUGGGCCUAAAGGCAGGAAGUUGAGUCACUAGAUCAUGUUCUUGAGGGGAUAUUGGAAUCCCAGCUUCUUCUCAUCUCAUUCUGCUUCCUGGCCACCAUGAGGAACUCACAGCUGAGUUUGCCUUGAGUCUCAGAGAUUUGGGGUUUCAAUUUUUCAGCAAUGAUGAACUGUUAAGACUUUGGUGACUCUUAGAAAUGAAUUGAAUGCAUUUUGCACAAGAUGGACAUGAGUCUUUUGGGGGCCAGGGGCAGAAUGUUAUGGUUGAGAUAAAAAAAAUACUUUCUUCCAAAAAUUCUUCAUCUAGAGAUGAGGGCUGGUCAAAAGAAGCAGGUAACUGAAGGAAUGAUUUGGAAGGGUAUAUUCUCAUCCCUGAACAACUUUCUUCCACCAUGCAAUUUUGUCAUGCUAUUUCAGUCUUGGAGCCAAUCCACCAUAGAUUGAAUCCACUGAAACCUCUUUUAAGCUGCAGGGGUUGGUUAUUUUGUCCCAUUGACAGAAAAGUAACUAAUACAGUAAUUGAGAUUGGAAUAAAAGAAAUUGUAAUUGCCCAGC
ensembl:lncRNA